GACGAACGCUGGCGGCGUGCUUAACACAUGCAAGUCGAGCGGUAAGGCCCUUUCGGGGGUACACGAGCGGGCGAACGGGUGAGUAACACGUGGGUGACCUGCCCUCAGCUCUGGGAUAAGCCUGGGAAACUGGGUCUAUACUGGAUAUGACUCCACGGUGCAUGUCGUGGGGUGGAAAGCCUUGUGCGGCUGAGGAUGGGCCCGCGGCCUAUCAGCUUGUUGGUGGGGUGA
rnacentral:rRNA from 1 species